rnacentral:rRNA from 1 species
AGAGUUUGAUCAUGGCUCAGGACGAACGCUGGCGGCGUGCUUAACACAUGCAAGUCGAACGGAAAGGCCCAGCUUGCUGGGUACUCGAGUGGCGAACGGGUGAGUAACACGUGGGUGAUCUGCCCUGCACUCUGGGAUAAGCCUGGGAAACUGGGUCUAAUACCGGAUAUGACCAACUGUCGCAUGGUGGUUGGUGGAAAGCUUUUGCGGUGUGGGAUGGGCCCGCGGCCUAUCAGCUUGUUGGUGGGGUAAUGGCCUACCAAGGCGACGACGGGUAGCCGACCUGAGAGGGUGAUCGGCCACACUGGGACUGAGACACGGCCCAGACUCCUACGGGAGGCAGCAGUGGGGAAUAUUGCACAAUGGGCGCAAGCCUGAUGCAGCGACGCCGCGUGAGGGAUGACGGCCUUCGGGUUGUAAACCUCUUUCACCAGGGACGAAGCGCAAGUGACGGUACCUGGAGAAGAAGCACCGGCCAACUACGUGCCAGCAGCCGCGGUAAUACGUAGGGUGCGAGCGUUGUCCGGAAUUACUGGGCGAAAGAGCUCGUAGGCGGUUUGUCGCGUCGUCUGUGAAAUUCUGCAACUCAAUUGCAGGCGUGCAGGCGAUACGGGCAGACUUGAGUACUACAGGGGAGACUGGAAUUCCUGGUGUAGCGGUGAAAUGCGCGAUAUCAGGAGGAACACCGGUGGCGAAGGCGGGUCUCUGGGUAGUAACUGACGCUGAGGAGCGAAAGCGUGGGUAGCGAACAGGAUUAGAUACCCUGGUAGUCC